AUUGAACGCUGGCGGCAGGCCUAACACAUGCAAGUCGAGCGGAGCGACGGACGGGUGAGUAAUGCCUAGGAAUCUGACUGGUAGUGGGGGAUAACGUCCGGAAGCGGGCGCUAAUACCGCAUACUAUCAGAUGAGCCUAGGGCGGAUUAGCUAGUUGGUGGGGUAAAGGCGUACCAAGGCGACGAUCCGUAGCUGGUCUGAGAGGAUGAUCAGUCACACUGGAACUGAGACACGGUCCAGACUCCUACGGGAGGCAGCAGUAGGGAAUAUUCGACAAUGGGCGAAAGCCUGAUCCAGCCAUGCCGCGUGUGUGAAGAAGGUCUUCGGAUUGUAAAGCACUUUUAGUUGGGAGGCGUUACCUACAGAAUAAGCACCGGCUAACUUCGUGCCAGCAGCCGCGGUAAUAC
rnacentral:rRNA from 1 species